UGAUGGUGUCGUCUUGGGAGUGGAGGAA
rnacentral:piRNA from 1 species